ensembl:misc_RNA Metazoa_SRP Metazoan signal recognition particle RNA
GCUGGGUGUGGUGGUGCACACCUGUAGUCCCAGCUACUCAGGAGGCUGAGGCAGAAGAAUUGCUUGAACUUGGGAGGUGGAGGUUGCAGUAAGCCAAGAUUGCACCACUGCACUCCAGCCCGGGUAACAGAGCUAGACUCUGUCUCAA